rnacentral:rRNA from 1 species
CUUGACUGUAGCCUGGAAUUGGGUUUGGGCUUUUCUUGCGCAGCCUAGGUGGGAGGCUAUGAAGAUUUCCUUCCGGGGAAGUUGGAGCCAACAGUGAGAGACCACUCUGGAAAGGCUAGAAUCCUCAUGGUGAUCCUUGAAUCAGGACACUUGACAGUUUCAGGCGGGCAGUUUCUCUGGGGCGGAGACCUCAUAAAAGGUAACUGAGGCGCGCAAAGGUUCCCUCAGUCUGGACGGAAAUCAGACAGCGAGUGUAAAGGCAAAAGGGAGCUUGACUGCAAGACCAACAAGUCGAGCAGGAGCGAAAGCUGGCCUUAGUGAUCCGACGGUGCCGCGUGGAAGGGCCGUCGCUCAACGAAUAAAAGUUA